UACAGAGGGGGCAAGCGUUGUUCGGAAUUACUGGGCGUAAAGGGCGCGUAGGCGGCCCACUAAGUCGAACGUGAAAUCCCCGGGCUCAACCCGGGAACUGCGUCCGAUACUGGUGGGCUUGAAUCCGGGAGAGGGAUGCGGAAUUCCAGGUGUAGCGGUGAAAUGCGUAGAUAUCUGGAGGAACACCGGUGGCGAAGGCGGCAUCCUGGACCGGCAUUGACGCUGAGGCGCGAAAGCCAGGGGAGCAAACAGG
rnacentral:rRNA from 1 species